GUGCACCAGUCGAGAAUCCUUCACAAUGCCCGAAAGGGCGAUGAGGGGACGCUGAGUGCCCUUCGGGGCUGUUCGGGUGCCUAAAAAGCACCCGGAGUAAGGGCUGGGUAAGACCGGUGCCAGCCGCCGCGGUAAUACCGGCAGCCCGAGUGGUGGCCGCGUUUAUUGGGCCUAAAGGGUCCGUAGCCGGUCGGGUAAGUUCUUCGGGAAACCUCGUCGCUCAACGGUGAGGCUUCCGGGGAAAACUGCCCGACUUGGGACCGGGAAGGGCCGGAGGUACUCCCGGGGUAGGGGUGGAAAUCCGUUGAUCCCGGGAGGACCACCCGUAGCGAAGGCGUCCGGCUGGAACGGGUCCGACGGUGAGGGACGAAGGCCAGGGGCGCGAACCGGAUUAGAUACCCGUGUAGUCCCUU
rnacentral:rRNA from 1 species